UGACCUGGCGCCGAAUCUUGCUGGAAGA
rnacentral:sRNA from 1 species